rnacentral:rRNA from 1 species
UUGGUGGGGUGAUGGCCUACCAAGGCGACGACGGGUAGCCGGCCUGAGAGGGCGACCGGCCACACUGGGACUGAGACACGGCCCAGACUCCUACGGGAGGCAGCAGUGGGGAAUAUUGCACAAUGGGCGGAAGCCUGAUGCAGCGACGCCGCGUGAGGGAUGACGGCCUUCGGGUUGUAAACCUCUUUCAGCAGGGACGAAGCGCAAGUGACGGUACCUGCAGAAGAAGCGCCGGCCAACUACGUGCCAGCAGCCGCGGUAAGACGUAGGGCGCGAGCGUUGUCCGGAUUUAUUGGGCGUAAAGAGCUCGUAGGCGGCUUGUCGCGUCGACUGUGAAAUCCCGCGGCUCAACUGCGGGUCUGCAGUCGAUACGGGCAGGCUAGAGUUCGGUAGGGGAGACUGGAAUUCCCGGUGUAGCGGUGAAAUGCGCAGAUAUCAGGAGGAACACCGAUGGCGAAGGCAGGUCUCUGGGCCGAUACUGACGCUGAGGAGCGAAAGCGUGGGGAGCGAACAGGAUUAGAUACCCUGGUAGUCCACGCUGUAAACGUUGGGCGCUAGGUGUGGGGGACCUCUCCGGUUCUCUGUGCCGCAGCUAACGCAUUAAGCGCCCCGCCUGGGGAGUACGG